AUGCGAUCUCAUGCACCAAGAAAAGUUUUGCCACCUUCAUCAACGCAACAAACAAGAGAAAGACACAAAGACUACAUAGCGGCUGUUACAAAGAUGAAGAAUGCUACAAAAACGCCAACAACCAGCAUAUCAUUUCUUUUUUCUUUUUCUUUUGCGAGUAACCAGCAUCUCAUUUCAACACGACACCACAAAGGAUCAUCCAUCCAGGGCUGGAAAUACAUCUUUGAGUACAUCAAGAAAGGAAUCCCAGAUGUACAAUUCGUUCACAAGGAAGAAGAUAUUGUGCUAUUUAUCCUAUGA
rnacentral:rRNA from 1 species